CUUAACCUUUUUCUGCCAGAAAACAAAAUCUCCCUUUCUUCUCCUCCUGAAGCUUCUCUUAGCCCUGUUUACGUCAGUCAAUUUGCAUGCCUUAAUGCACCUAAAUCGAGGCCUCUGAUCGAAAAACGUUCUUCAUCAAAGUUGUUCAUCAUCAUCUCAUCUAUAACAUAUCCAAAAAUCAGUGCGAUCAGAUCUGUAAUGAAGUCUGUACAUCGAUCUGAGUAGAGGUAGCUCAGAAAUCAGCAGAUUUCGAGUUUCAGCUUUUCUUUAUCCUCUUUCCUUAUCAGGAUUCCUCAAAUUCCUUUGGAAAUAAUUCUAUUAUGAGUGGCAUUCCUUGAUAUAUGACUGGGCUUGGCCAAAUUCGUCUUGUCUCUCCAUCUUUUCCUGUCGAAUUUCAUGAGGGAACUCAGCCAUACGUUUGAUUCAGUGGGCCUCCUAUAACUCAAAGGAGAUCAGUGGACGAUGGCGUUGCAUCAAUUAUUCACCCAACAUUGCUUAGCUUUGGACUCCAGGUAGGGGGACUCGCCCUAGUUAGUGGUUUUCUGUAUUGUUUUAUAGUUUGAAAAUUGGUUUUCUAUGAUUAUUCUUAUUUGAGAUAAUGAGGGUGACCUGAGAGUGAGAGGAGCAUAGCGAAUUCCUUGGGCUUCAAUCCCCUAAACCUCCGGAGGGGCUGUAUGGACGGUAGAGUGUCUGACAUCCUUUGAGGUGUGGCACUGCUUCUAGGUGAUACGGCGUAAGUGGACACUCUCGCUACGCCUUGCCGGUUUAAACGAUAGUAAUCGUGGUAAGGGUGUAGUUGGCUUUAUGAUCGGUCAUCAGGUUUGUUAAUCUGAUAUCCGAACAUUUGAGUUUACAGAAAAUGUUUUCAAUGUGGAUUUUAUCUAUAUAUGUAGUUUUUACUUACUCGCCGGCAUCUAUGUUUAUAUAUUACAAUUGCUUUCAAACCUAGCUAGGGUUGAGCCAUAUUGGGCCAGCGAGGACGAUUGCUCAUCCCUACAACAGUUGUGUGAUUGCAGGUACUGUGCACGAAGACGGGACAGCUAGGAUUGGCGAUGGGUGUGGCAUGCUUUCUCUCAAUUCUGAAUUUGUGAAAUGAAAUUUAUUUUGGAGUGUGGCUGAACUAUUUUUAGCUUAUGCUCCUAAUGGUUCGCGGCACUGUAACGUGACUGAUUUGAGGAGGUGCAAAUCGGGGCGUUACACGUCGUGCAAGUGAAGUGAAGAGAGAGAGAGAGAGGGACAGAGCUGGGCGCCGUCUCACUCGGUGCGUCGAUCUAUGAGGGAGAAAGAAUGAGGCGUCGACCGCGUCGUGCAGGUGCAGUGAAGAGAGAAAGAGAAGGAUCGGUGUCUCGAUCCUGGGCGGCGUCUCGAUCAGAGUCCGUUUGGUGUCUCGGCCUCAUAGCUAUGGCGGAGGAGAAUGAGCUCAGUUUCGACUUUGGAGAUGGAGGCGCCUCUUGUGCGUUCAGAUCAGGUAGAAAACGAGCUCCUUCAUUGUCGAUUACUACACAGUUGUCCAACUGUUCACCCAUCAAAAUCCGCUCGAAAUUUAACUCCGAAGUUCAUAUAUUCUAAAUCAAACACGAUGUUCUGGCUUCACCCUCGACUUUUUGGCCGAGUCCUUGCACGGGUACUUCUUGAUUCCGGCGACGGGGAGACGACUGAUUGCGAGGGAUAUGGAUUUGUUGCCAGAAUCGGGUAGGAUCUCGGCGGGGUUGGUGAUGGUUUGCGCGGAGGAGAGAUGUGAGAUUUGAUCUGUGCGAAUUGCGAAACUCUUGUUGAAGUCUUUGAACUAGAUUUUCAUGGUAAUAAACUUUGAUCAAUUGGAGGAGGACUGGAGGAGAUGAGUUUGCCCCUGCCCCUCCCAUCUGUUUCUACCUCUCAAGCUUGGUCCCACUUAUUGUUUCACAAACUCACACUACGUUAACUCCAAACCCACACUAACAGAA